CAGAGUGACAGGGGGAGAGAAAGAAAGAGAGUGAGAUAACGAUCCGAAACCGCACUCCGAUCCAAAACCCUCUUCGAAAUCGCACUUCGAUCCGAAACCCUCUUCGAAACCGCACUUCGAUCCGAAACCUUAACCUAAGUUAACGUGCCUCGAUGGAGCUUCGUUCUUGUUGAUCCCUUUCCAAUCCCAUAGUUUCUGGGAUAUUGAUUAUCACAUUGCUCUUCAUGUUGCCGCGUGUGAGGGAUUCACUGAGGUCGUUGAGUUUUUGCUCCAGAAAGUUGCCGAAGUUGACGCCAAGGAUCGAUGGGGAAGCACGUGACUGUUCCAUGGUCUUUUGUACGGGCUAGGGAUGAUGUUGUUGUUGAAGAUGAAACUAAUGGCGAGUUUCUAUUGUAUCUUCAUAUUUGGAUAUAGUUUAUGAUCCUAAUUCAGGUUCUGACUUUGAAGAUACUAGGUAAAAUGAACAUUGUUGCAUGGGCUAGCAAAGAAGAGGAGGAUAAGGAUGCAUCUACUUCCUUGAAAACAAAAGCAGAAGCACCUAAGAGUGUCAUUGAAGUACGUGCAGUAGCAUGAGAGGAAGCUGAGAAGGCUAAGUAUAUGGCCAGGAAGAAUUUGUAGGGGAGGCUGAGUUGAUCAAAAGUAAGGGCUCAGGAGUUGAAGGAUUUUGUGAAAUCAAUUCCCCCCGAUCGUUGCGUUAUGGCCCACCAGCCAAAGAGGGGUGCAACCCCUCCGCCGCGGAGAUUGAGUUGAUGAACUCGUGGCUGAUCUUAUUCUCAUAUGGUGUGGACGGUGAUAUUGGUGGUGAGAACCGAUCCCAUGUGGUAUGUCAACUUCACGAAAUUAGAGGAACCCUUGUAUUUCUUGGAGUCUUUGAAGGCGUAAUCGGUGGUGUUCAUUUUGUUGUUCUGCGGUAGCCACGGCUGCCAUGCGGAGGCCGGAGCCGCGACGAGGAGGAGGAGGAGGGUGACUGAGAUGCGCGCCGUACUGGGUGGCGAUGAUGGCACAUUUUUUGGGGGGUUUAGGGUUUAGUAGUUGGGGUUAGUGAGGUGAGUAUGAAACGUGAUGUUUCAGUGGGCGAAGGUUCUUUAGAGAACCGGUUGCAUCACCACCGGCGGCUUGCCCUUUGCGAUUUUAUCAAGGAUUGACUAUUCUUUUUGUGGUUAUUUAAAUUGUUUUUGCUUUGUAAAAUCACACUUUGUAAUUUGAUCAAGGAUCACUACUAACUAUAGCUUUGGAAAUGGGUGUCUAUUUUUUGACCCUGCACUUUCUAUAUUUGGAAAUGGUGGUAACUUUGUCAUUAUUCAAGACGCUUUUGAUAGGUACAAAGGGAUCUUGUUUAAGCAUGGUGACAUGUUCUAUUUUCUCAACCCUGGACCUUCUCUCUCUGUUAAUGGUGCUGCCUCUACCAUUGUUCGAGAUGCUUUUGAUAAAUACAAAGGGAUCUUGUUCAAGCAUGGUGACAGGUUCAAUUUUCUCAACCCUACACUUUCUCUCUCUAGAAAUGGUGUUGCCUCUGCCAUUGUUCGAGAUCCUUUUGAUAGAUACAAAGGGAUCUUGUUUAAGCACGGUGACAGGUUCGGUUUUCUCCGAACACUUAGGCCUGCCUAUGAUGUUUCCCAAAUGAACAUCAUUGUUCUUUCCGAUAUUGAAGAGGUGUGCCUUUUUAAAUUAUUUUUUGAUUUCCCUUUUAUGGCUUUUGAUCAAGAUUUUCAGAAUGAUAGUGAUUCUGUUGUUGAAGUUCUUGUUCUUUUACAUAAUAAAUCUGGUCCUUGUUAGAGGUAUGAUGAUGUCUUUUUGUAUACUCAUUCUCUUCCUUGAUUGGUUUUCUAUUGACAAAUUUUGUACAUCAACAUUGUAGAAAUAAGGGCUUUUCCAGAUUAAGUCAGUAGCGAGUCUCACCAUCUCUUCUUGCCUUCCUUUUAGUUUCCUCUUAUAUUGUUAAGGCUUCUUUUGAUGUGAAAAGAUAUAUUAUUAUGAUUCCAGGUGUAUAUGCUUCGAUUACAAACAUAAUAAUUAUUGAUCUUGGUGUUCAUAAAUUUGAGUUUGUUUUUUAUGGAUUUCUUGCAGGUCCAAUUUGACACCAUGGAUUUAUCUGACAAUGAGAUUGUCAAAUUGGAAAAUGUGCCAUGAUCUUAACCGGUUGGGUACAAAGCUCAUUAGUAACAAUAGGAUUACUAGAAUUAAUCUCAACAUUGGAGGUCUGGUUUGAACUUUGAAAUGCACAUCCUCUUUCCAUUAGUGAUGUCUUUCCUUCUAGUUGUAAGCUACACAACGUGGUUAUCUAGAUUAUUGUUGCAUUUGUAUUGUAGAAUUUUUGCCAAAACUAGACACUAGUUCUCACAAACAACAGAAUUGUAAACUUGGUAGAAAUUGAUCCUUUAGCAUCCCUUUCAAAGCUGCAGUUACUUGGUCUGUCAGACAACAAUAUUACAAAGAAAGCAAAUUGCAGGCUUUAUGUUAUUAACAAGCUGAAAUCCCUCCGGGUUUUGGAUUUCAAGUAAUUGAAAUAUAAGGUAAUGUUUUAUUUUUCACCAUGUAGAUUUUAUUGGCUUGUUGUUUGCAAUAUGAAAGAUAGGAUGUUCCGGUAAUGUUUCCGUUCAAUUAGAAAACAGAACUACCCCUGGCUUGCUCUGAACACCAAGUCCAAGUGCGGAAAUUUUACUACAUAUAGAUGUAGAUUAUAAAACAGAUUAGAAAACAAUUGUUUGUUACUUGUCCCAUGAAUUUGUACAUUGUCUCUGAAGUGAUAUAGAUUUUCUGUUUCUGUACACAUAAAAGAAGAAAAAUUCUCUUAUCUAUUUUUUCUAACUGGACUGCCUCUGCCACCUAAAUGUUUAUAUAACUUAAAAAUUACCAUCUUUAUGUUGAUUUGGGUCUAUUGUCACCCCUGUUGUUGAUGCGGUGGUGUUUUUUGUAGCUAUAAGCAAGUCUUGGCAACUGCAAAUUAACAUGAAACCAAAUUGCCACAAAUAGAAAUAGAUUCCAUAAAUUAUAUGUACCAUGUAUAUUGUGCUUUCUAAGAAUACCAUUGACUGCAGAGAAUCCUCAUCCUUAGUGAUCCUAGUUCCCUAAAUUAGUUAAAACAUAACGCAUUAGUUAAAAUUAAGGGUUAAGAUUCAAACUUCUUACGAUUCAAAAUUCUUUCAAAAUUAACGCAUUAGUUCCCUAAAUUAGUCAUUAUUUGUCUUUGUAUUCUCAAACUUUUUUAAAACCUCAGGCAGAUUCAUAUCAACUGAUUGGUGACAUUUCCCAAAUGAACAUCACUGUUCAUUCCGACAGUGAAGAGCUGAGCCUUUUUCAAUUAUUUUUUGAUUUCCCUUUUCUGGGUAUUGAUCAAGAUUUUUAGAUUGGGAACUUGUGUUGCAGUUUCAACUUGGAGUGGAUGAAAGAAAGCUACAAUCUGCCUGUUUCAAGACCCCGGGUGCAUUUUGGUAACGGGCAAGUUUCAAUUGAGGACCAAUUUGACACCAUAGAUUUAUGCCGCAAUGAGAUUGUCAAACUGGAAAACGUGCCAUAUCUUAACCGGUUGGUUACAAAGCUCACGUGUAACUAUGAUUUCUAGAAUUAAUCCCAACAUUGGAGGUCCAAUUUAAUACCGGACUCCUAUAUCAACAAACCAAAUUCAAAUUCAACCUUCUCGAAGAAGAGAGUGAGCAUUAUGCAAAGCUGCUGUUGGCUUGAAGUGAAAAAGGCGUGAGAUCCCACCUGAUAUCUCACAAGAUUACACUAUUUUUAGUUGUCCUAGGGAAGGAGGAGCAGCCUAGGGAUGAUGUUGUUGUUGAAGAUGAAACUAAUGGCGGGUUUCUAUUGUAUCUUCAUAUUUGGAUAUAGUUUAUGAUCCUGAUUCAGGUUCUGACUUUGAAGAUACUAGGUAAAAUGAACAUUGUUGCAUGGGUAGCAAAGAAGAGGAGGAUAAGGAUGCAUCCACUUCCUUGAAAACAAAAGCAGAACCACCUAAGAGUGUCAUUGAAGCACGUGCAGUAGCAUGGGAGGAAGUUGAGAAGGCCAAGUAUAUGGCCAGUUGUGGCAGCUGUUGGCUUGAAGCGAAAAAGGCUUGAGAUCCCACCUGAUGUCUCACAAGAUUACACUAUUUUUAGUUGUCCUAGGUACGUGCCAAAUUCCAUAAUGAUUUUCUUGCCAUCUCUAAAUUUAACUUGAACGUAGUAGUAUCUAUCUAUUAAGGGGAAUUGGAGCAUACACAAUUUUUUGUUAAAAUUAUUUAUAAAUCAUACUGAAUUGCAUUGCUCAUCUGUUUUGUUUUAAUUUUCUCAAUUUUUUUUCUUCUUGUUUUUUAGAAUGCUGAAGAUGUAUUGCCUCUAUGCUAAUCUUGUAAUGUUUCUACCAUGCUAAUCAUGGGCAUUUCUUAUGCUUAAAACCUAGCAAUUCUAUCAAUAAAUUCAUUUUAUUAAUAGUUUUUAUUUAUUUAUUUUCAUCAAUUA